CAAUGGAAAGCUUUUUUUUUAUUCAGCUUGAUGUAUAAAAUGUAUGAAAUAGUUUCAAAAUAUUGACCCUUAUGACUGAUUUGGUGGUCCAGGGUCACAUAUGUAUAAAUGGAUAUAUUCAAAUAUGUAAAUUAUUCAUGUAAACAGAUUCAUUAUUAUACAUAAACUGUUUAGAUAGAUAGAUAGAUAGAUAGAUAGAUAGAUAGACUGCAGGAUUUAUACAAUGAGAUAUUGUAUGUAUUUAAUUAAAUAUUGAAAACUGGGGUUAUAAAAUCAACAUUUGCACGUGCAUCCUAGCCUUACCCCCAUGUAAACUUUGACCCUCUAAACUUCGUCUGUUGUUGGAAUCUACCAUUUCACCUAACUACUUGCAUUUUGGCCAUUCAUGUCAGUAAAAUAAAAUAAAAUUAAAAAAUCAAAAAUAAAUUAAAAAAUGAAUAGGGUGAAAAGAGACAAUAGAUGUGAGCACAGGUGAUUUAAGAAUAGCACUUUAUCAUGUCUGCGUCAAUACAAAGUUCACAGCUGCUGCUGAGGUGAGUUGUGAUCGGUGACAUAAUGGACUAGUCGCGUGUUUUUAGAGCGCGUGCUUAGAUCUGCUGGAGUCGAGCGCUCUCGCGUCUCUAUAACGGAGGAGGGAUCGGAUCACAGUAUUGCAGAUCGGACAUAAUGGCUACAAUGCUGAGCAAAGAAUUGCCGGAUAUCGAGCAUGGCCUUGUGAGCUGCUAGGAAGAGAUUUCAGGACCCUGGACAGGGACUCGUUCAGCAGCUCUCAGUAGCUGUUCAACACUGAUGAAGCCAUAAUUAGCAGCUUAAUGAAAAUGUACAGUUCCAAUUUAAGGAUCAUUUCCUCCAGAUAAAUAAGUGUACAGUCACAUAUGUUCCACAAUUUCUUCUGAUGUACAAUGCACAUUGGAGACAACAAGCCCAUUGAUUUGUGAGCAGUGCAUGAUUGAUGGCCUACAUUUUUUUUUUCCUUUUUAGAUUUUAAAGCAGUAAACAUUACUAUUAAAUCAUGUUUUCUUUCUAUCAAGUGCACUUAAGCAAGCAGGUUGCUAAUUUAGUGGUUCAAUUAGUCUAGAAAAACAGAGGCAUUAAAUGUUUUUUUUUAAAGACUUUAUGUCCCUAAAUUAAAAUCAAUUAACCUAAUCAAAACAUAAGACGACAUAAUCAAAUGUUGUAAUUUUGUUCCUUUUGAAACAGUGCUUUAAUUCAGGCCUGUUCGUAACUUCAGCUUCUCUAUAUUUCCAGUAUUAGUUCCUGCUGUCAGUAGCGUUUGCCAUGUUUGACCUAGCAUUAGCACAUCUGAUUUACAUGAAUCCUAUCUGUUAGCCGUCGUCUUUAUGACAUCUUGGUAUGCACAGCACACGCCGGAUGACAUCUCUGCUCAGGUGA
ensembl:lncRNA